rnacentral:rRNA from 1 species
GACAGAGGUGCCGAGCGUUAGGCGGAAUCACUGGGCUUAAAGCGUGUGUAGGCGGACUUCUAAGUACCUUGUGAAAUCCCCAUGGCUCAACCAUGGGACUGCUCGGUAUACUGGUUGUCUUGAGCCACUUAGGGGCAGUCGGAACGAGACGGUGGAGCGGUGAAAUGCGUAGAUAUCGUCUGGAACGCCAACGGUGAAAACAGACUGCUGGGAGUGUGCUGACGCUGGAGACACGAAAGCCAGGGGAGCAAACGGGG